CCUACGGGAGGCAGCAGUGGGGAAUAUUGGACAAUGGGGGGAACCCUGAUCCAGCGACGCCGCGUGAGUGAAGAAGUAUUUCGGUAUGUAAAGCUCUAUCAGCAGGGAAGAAAGAAAUGACGGUACCUGACUAAGAAGCCCCGGCUAACUACGUGCCAGCAGCCGCGGUAAUACGUAGGGGGCAAGCGUUAUCCGGAUUUACUGGGUGUAAAGGGAGCGUAGACGGUUACGCAAGUCUGGAGUGAAAGGCGGGGGCCCAACCCCCGGACUGCUUUGGAAACUGUAUAACUGGAGUGCAGGAGAGGUAAGUGGAAUUCCUAGUGUAGCGGUGAAAUGCGUAGAUAUUAGGAGGAACACCAGUGGCGAAGGCGGCUUACUGAACUGUAACUGACGUUGAGGCUCGAAAGCGUGGGGAGCAAACAGGAUUAGAUACCCCAGUAGUC
rnacentral:rRNA from 1 species